UACGUAGGGUGCAAGCGUUGUCCGGAAUUAUUGGGCGUAAAGAGCUCGUAGGCGGUCUGUCGCGUCGGCUGUGAAAACUCGGGGCUCAACUCCGAGCUUGCAGUCGAUACGGGCAGGCUAGAGUUCGGCAGGGGAGACUGGAAUUCCUGGUGUAGCGGUGAAAUGCGCAGAUAUCGGGAGGAACACCGGUGGCGAAGGCGGUUCUCUGGGCCUGACCUGACGCUGAGGAGCGAAAGCGUGGGGAGCGAACAGG
rnacentral:rRNA from 1 species